AUGACAGCCGCCCCUGCUUACUUUAAGCAAAGCCUUUUUAAACCACCAUCUUCACUGUAUUCAUAUACUUAAAGUGUAAUUCGAAAAUUGAAUCCACUGUCUUUUUAUGGGCAUGUAUACCCAUCAAAUAAGCCCUCCAGAUACUUUUUUCUGUCAUGGUCUGUCUGUUUCCUUGUCUUGUUUUGGUGUGUUUCCUGUUUUACUUUAUCUCUCUCUUGUUUCUCCCCAUGUCCGGUCAAGUUUCCCUCCUGUGUGAUAACUGCUCCCUCCCCUAAUGUGUUUCAGCUGUAACUCAUUGCGUGCCCUGUGUUUAGUAUUUAAGCCCUUGUCUUUCCUUUGUUCCUUGUCGGAUCAUUGUAGUUCGUGGUGAGUUGUGUCCUGUGUGUUACCGGUGUUCACUGUGUUACCCGCGUCACUCGUGUUCUCGGUGUUCCUUGCCUUUUGAUUAAUAAAUUAUCCUUUACCCGAACUGUCUGCUUUUGGGUCCUACCUGCCUGCCUGCCACCCGCUAACCGUGACAUUUUCAUUGAAAAUCAAGUAUAGAGUUUACCCAGCGCAAUGUUUGGCUUCCAUGUUAUUGGUUAGGGGCAACGCGAAACAAAGACCCUAUGUUCAAUUUUCGCCGGAAAUACACUUUAAAUCCUUGCAUGGUCAUGCUUUCAGACAGGUUCAACCGGAACAGUAGUCUCGGGUUCGCUAAAUGAAACUGAUCCGUGGUCAUCAUCGGUGAAUUAGUACAAACAAGCAUGAGAAUAUUAAAACAUACUCAAAUGCUGAAGUUCUCUUGAACCAAUAUUUUUGUUGGUGUCCAGGUCUCCAGUCUACUAUGAACGAGGAGAGAGACGAGGCGGGUCUUGCAUCUAAAACCCCUCUGUCUGAGGAACAUGGCUGCCAGAGUGAAGCUAAGAGGUCGCCAGCAUACAGGGCCGACCUGUCCCCUCAUCCGCGCCGGCCGGCGGCGCUGCCCCAUCCCGGCCUCGCGCUGCG
ensembl:lncRNA